rnacentral:rRNA from 1 species
GAUGAACGCUGGCGGCGUGCCUAAUACAUGCAAGUCGAGCGAACGGACGAGAAGCUUGCUUCUCUGAUGUUAGCGGCGGACGGGUGAGUAACACGUGGAUAACCUACCUAUAAGACUGGGAUAACUUCGGGAAACCGGAGCUAAUACCGGAUGAUAUUUUGAACCGCAUGGUUCAAAAGUGAAAGACGGUCUUGCUGUCACUUAUAGAUGGAUCCGCGCUGCAUUAGCUAGUUGGUAAGGUAACGGCUUACCAAGGCAACGAUGCAUAGCCGACCUGAGAGGGUGAUCGGCCACACUGGAACUGAGACACGGUCCAGACUCCUACGGGAGGCAGCAGUAGGGAAUCUUCCGCAAUGGGCGAAAGCCUGACGGAGCAACGCCGAGUGAGUGAUGAAGGUCUUCGGAUCGUAAAACUCUGUUAUUAGGGAAGAACAUAUGUGUAAGUAACUGUGCACAGCUUGACGGUACCUAAUCAGAAAGCCACGGCUAACUACGUG